UACGUAGGGGGCAAGCGUUGUCCGGAAUCAUUGGGCGUAAAGCGCGCGUAGGCGGCUUUUCAAGUCGAUUGUGAAAUCCCCAGGCUUAACCUGGGAACUGCGUGUGAUACUGGAUGGCUUGAAUUCGGGAGAGGGAUGCAGAAUUCCAGGUGUAGCGGUGAAAUGCGUAGAUAUCUGGAGGAAUACCGGUGGCGAAGGCGGCAUCCUGGACCGACAUUGACGCUGAGGAGCGAAAGCUAGGGGAGCAAACGGG
rnacentral:rRNA from 1 species